rnacentral:lncRNA from 1 species
UUUUUUUUUUUUUUUUUUUUUUUUUUGCUUUUUUUUUGGGCCGCUCCCCCGGCAUAUGGGGGUUCCCAGGCUAGGGGUCGAAUUGGAGCUGUAGCCACGGAUUACGCCAGAGUCACAGCAAUGCGGGAUCCCAGCUGUGUCUGCAACCUACACCACAGCUCACGGCAACGCCGGAUCGUUAACGCACUGAGCAAGGGCAGGGAUCGAACCCGCAACCUCAUGGUUCCUAUUUGGAUUCGUUAACCACUGCGCCACGACGGGAACUCCGAAACGUAUGUUUUUCAAAUUAUUUUUCCUUAUUGGUUAUUACAAGAUAUUGAAUAUAAUUCCCUGUGCUAUAUACAGUAGGAUCCUGUUGCUUAUCUGUAUUAUAUAUAGUAGUGUGUAUAUGUUAAUCCCAAACUCCUAAUUUAUCUCUCCCCCUGCCUCCCCUUUGAUAACCAUAAAUUUGUUUUCUAUGUCUGUGAGUCUGUUUCUGCUUUGAAAAUAAAUUCAUUUGUUUCACUUUUUUAGAUUUCACAGAUAAGUGAUAUCAUAUGAUGUUUGUCUUUGUCUGACUUACUUCACUUAGUAUGAUAAUCUCUAGGUCCAUCCAUGUUGUUACAAAUGGCAUUAUUUCAUUUUUUUAUGGCCCAGUAAUAAUCCAGUGUAUAUGUGUACUCAUUUCUUUGUCAACGGACACUUAAGUUGCUUACAUGUCUUGGCUAUUGUAAAUAGUGUUGCUAGAAAUAUUGGGGUGCAUGUAUUUUUUUGUCUUUUUAGGGCCACACCUACAACACAUGGAGGUUCGCAGGCUCGGGGUCAAACCGGAGCUACAGCUGCCAGCCUAUGCCACAGCCACAGCAACGCCAGAUCCAAGCUGGAUCUUCAAACUGCACCACAGCUCUAGGCAAUGCCAGAUCCUUAACCCAUUGAGCGAGGCCAGAGAUCGAACCUGUGUCCUCAUGGAUGCUAGUCAGAUUCGUUUCUACUGAGCCACAAUGGGAACUCCAUUUAUCUUUUUUGAAUUAGAGUUUUCAUUUUUUCCAGACACAUAUAUGCCCAGAAAUGAGAUUGCUGGAUCCUAUGGUAACAGAUUCCAUACAGUUUUUAUUUUUUGUAAAAUUAAUGUAUAGGUAUUGUAAAAAAAAAUCGGAAAUAAUAAACAUCAUAGGAAAUUCUACUCAGGUAGAGAUAAUCAAAAUUAAAACUUGGUGAACUGUUCACUGUUACGUAUAAGUAUAUAUAAUAUUUCUGUGCUUGCUCAAUGUCUAUCUACCUACAAUUAUGUAUGAAUUAAUUAUACUAUUUAUGCUACUCUAAACCUACUUUUAUCAGCCAAUAAUAUGACAUGACAAUGUUUCCAUUGCUAAUAGAUACAAAUUUUCAUCACUUAUUCAAGGAUACAUUGCAUAAAUAUAAUUUAUAUAACCAUAAUUUAUCCAACCAUUCCACUUUUGAUGGACAUUUGUUGCAGUAUUUCAAUACUAUAUGCAAUAUUGCAAUGAGUAUCCUUGUUAAUACAUUAUUAAAUUCUUGAUGUCUGAAGGCUCUUUUCACCAAAUUAAAUAUUUGGGGUAGAAAGAAUCCAUUAGAUUCAGAAAUGGUCACAUCAUUGCAAAACUUCAUGAAAAAAAAUUUAGAAUGAACUGAUGUUAUUCUAAAAUGUAGCUCCUGAUUCUGGUGUCUUGAAGUUGAAUAUAAUAAAAUGUUUUCUUAUAGAGUUUGUGUCAAUUCACAUGGGGCUAAAAUUCAGUGAAUAUGCCAGAUGCCCUUUUAAACUUAUUAUGCUAUUAUCAACCUACAAUACUAUAUUUUUAGAACUCUUAGAAAAUCAUUUGCACAUAAGUUUCCUUAAAAUUAUAACUUGAUAGUUAUACCAGCCAUCAAUGCUGCAGAUAUAAAAUCUGAAUAUUGAGCAUACAGUAUAAUUCCUGCUGCUUGAUUUUCAGUGUCCACCAACUCAGUGUUGACGUUGGUAGGAAGCAAGAGAAAAAUGGAAACUCAUAUUGUGGUUCACUCAGUCAUUUGGACAGCUUAUAAAAACUCUUGCACAGUUUACCAAUCUCCAACAAAUUAUUUCCAUAAGAAAGAAUUUAUUAAGGUCAGUGUCUUCAUAUCUUUCCCUCCCUGUGUAUAAUAUUAGCUUUGCUGUGUAGACAAACGAGAGUUGAGAGUGAGCCUCCCUAGAUGGAUAGCCUUAUGGUCUCUGGAUGAAAUGCACUAUGUACAGGAAGAGUAAGGUGUUAUUGGUAUGUAAAAUAGAAUCCUAAAACUGUGAAGCAAAUUCUAUCCCAGGAACACAAGACACCGAAGAGUAAACAAAUACAAACAAAUAAGCUUUAAAUCAUUCAUUUAAAUCGAAGACUUGAAGGCUUCUUAUUUCCUUCCUCCUUUUGGAGGCGGCCCUUCCUUGUCUACAUUUCUUGAUCUAUGUUGGCCUCUUCAAAGCUUCUACAGUCAUAAAAAACUCAGGAAAACAUUUCACCACUUGACAGACCAUCCUGAACUUGGCUGGCUUCAGGAGCUGUGGGGCACCAUCUGUUUACUAGGAUUCCUUGGGUAUCUUGAGGGCCCUUUUCCACUGCAAGAAUGAUAUUGAGGGCUCUGCAACGAAAGUGCUCACUCCUGGACCACUCCAAACAGCCAGGAUUCUCAAGGACCUUCCAGUUUCCAGGAAUCUCAGUGGGGCCCAUUUUAGACUCUGUUAGCUGUUCUUGGGGAAGGAGAUGAAGACCAAACAAGGAGGCAUCAAAAGUUACCUCUUGUUAGACCCUUAUCUCAGAUUCCUCAGGAAAUAGACUCUGACAUGGAGAUUUCGGUGCAGCAGAUUAAUCUGGGUGUGUUUGGGGGGCCACAUUUGGUGAGGGAGUGAAAACUGCAUAAUUGGAAAGAAGGGGAUGUCAGACUUUGAGGCAGUUGCAGAGGCCUUAGCCUGUCUUUUAGCAAAGCCCCAGAGCUAGGCUGGCUCUUCGGGGUUGUCCCUGAAUUGAAGCAAGGGGACCUGGCCUUUGUACCCUUCCAUCAACCAAUCUCAGGAUGUAGGCUGCUCCCGGGAGGGGGGUGUAACCUGAUGGGAGGCCAUUCUCUAUGGGGAGGGCAACUCCUGGACAAAGUCUUAGCUGUGAGAUACCAGCAGCCACAUCCCCUACCAGCAGGGGCAUGAGUACCUGUGUCCUGGGGGCAAUCUGGCAGUGCACUAAACCAUCUAUUAGACUCUUUCACUCUCAGGAAUUCCCUGAUGUCCUAGAAAGCCAAAUGCUUAUGCAGAGUUCCAGCCUAAAGAGAUGAUCACCACCUUUGGACAUGGGAGGAGCGUGGGAAGGCAGGCAUUGCAGAGGGACCCCCAAGGUAAGGUGACCCUCAAAUGCAGUAGGUUUUAAAAGCCAUCCAUACACUUGUGUUUGCCAAGAGGGAAGGGAAGGGAGUGGGAUGGACUGGGAGUUUGUAGAUGCAAACUAUUGUAUUUGGAGUGGAUAAGCAUUGAGAUCCUGCUCUGUAGCACAGGGAACUAUAUCCAGUGACUUGUGAUGGAACAUGACAGAAAAUAAUGGGAGAAAAAGAAUGUAUACAUAUGUAUAACUGGGUCACUUUGCUGUGCAGCAGAAAUUGACGAAAUAUUGUAAGUCAACUGUAAUAAAAAAAUGUUUAAAGCCUUCCCAGAUUAGGGAACAUUACAGGGUCAUUGAUGAGGGUGUCCUAAAUGAGUAGGAUUUGGCGGGGGGGUGGGGGGAGCACAAAAUGGGAACUUAUGGCAGGGUCUCAUCACAUCAUUUACCCCUGAGGCUUCCUUAAUUUUCCACUCAGGUGUCCUGUCCACAUCCUGAAGCUCACCCCUGAUGUCACUGGCAGUACCCAUAUAUGUCAACAAGCUUCUUGCUUCUUUCUACUUGAAAAUGCUCUCUGGCUCCUGUGAUAUUGAGCAGAUUUGGAAAACCAGGGAGUUAAUACCCCAGGAUAGACCCUCAAACAACGAGGAGUGGAAGUUGAUGGCUAAAUACCCCAGCCACCUACCUCUCAGUGAACCAGUUUUAAAGCAUGUCCUACACAGAGGGUCCCCAGUUGUCUGCAAUGGUGACCCCCUCACUAAUACACCAUCACUGGCUCUCCUUGUUUCCCUGAUUCUCCUGGAGUAAAUAUACUUCCUUGCUAAGGAAAUGCUAUUGCUUUCUCC